rnacentral:rRNA from 2 species
UGGGGAAUAUUGCACAAUGGAGGGAACUCUGAUGCAGCGACGCCGCGUGAACGAAGAAGGCUUUCGAGUCGUAAAGUUCUUUUAUAUGGGAAGAUAAUUACGGUACCAUAAGAAAAAGCCCCGGCUAACUACGUGCCAGCAGCCGCGGUAAUACGUAGGGGGCUAGCGUUGUCCGGAAUCACUGGGCGUAAAGGGUUCGCAGGCGGAAAUGCAAGUCAGGUGUAAAAGGCAGUAGCUUAACUACUGUAAGCAUUUGAAACUGCAUAUCUUGAGAAGAGUAGAGGUAAGUGGAAUUUUUAGUGUAGCGGUGAAAUGCGUAGAUAUUAAAAAGAAUACCGGUGGCGAAGGCGACUUACUGGGCUCAUUCUGACGCUGAGGAACGAAAGCGUGGGUAGCAAACAGG